rnacentral:rRNA from 1 species
UACGUAGGGGGCUAGCGUUGUCCGGAUUUAUUGGGCGUAAAGAGCGUGUAGGCGGCCUUGUAGGUCCGGUGUGAAAACUCGAGGCUUAACCUCGAGAUGUCAUCGGAAACCAUUUGGCUAGAGUCCGGAAGAGGAGAGCGGAAUUCCUGGUGUAGCGGUGAAAUGCGCAGAUAUCAGGAAGAACACCAAUGGCGAAAGCAGCGCGCUGGGACGGUACUGACGCUGAGACGCGAAAGCGUGGGGAGCGAACAGG